AAUCUGGCCCUUAGGUACGGAAUAAACUCGAAGAGAAAUUUGUGCUAAGUACCGUAUGAUGUCGAAAGACCAAAGAUUUAUCGCCUAAGGAUGAGCCCGCGUAAGAUUAGCUUGUUGGUGAGGUAAAAGCUCACCAAGGCGACGAUCUUUAGCUGGUCUGAGAGGAUGAUCAGCCACACUGGGACUGAGACACGGCCCAGACUCCUACGGGAGGCAGCAGUGGGGAAUAUUGGACAAUGGGCGAAAGCCUGAUCCAGCAAUGCCGCGUGAGUGAUGAAGGCCUUAGGGUUGUAAAGCUCUUUUACCAGGGAUGAUAAUGACAGUACCUGGAGAAUAAGCUCCGGCUAACUCCGUG
rnacentral:rRNA from 1 species